AGUCAAUAGAUACCCCGGUAGUCCACGCCCUAAACGAUGUCGACUGGUUGUUGGGGGUUUGACACUCUCAGUAAACGAAAGCUAAACGCGUGAAGUCGACCGCCUGGGGAGUACGGCCGCAAGGUUAAAACUCAAAGGAAUUGACGGGGACCCGCACAAGCGGUGGAUUAUGUGGAUUAAUUCGAUGCAACGCGAAAAAACCUUACCUACCCUUGACAUGUCCUGAAUCCCGCUGAGAGGUGGGAGUGCCCGAAAGGGAACGGGAACACAGGUGCUGCAUGGCUGUCGUCAGCUCGUGUCGUGAGAUGUUGGGUUAAGUCCCGCAACGAGCGCAACCCUUGUCAUUAGUUGCUACAUUCAGUUGGGCGACUCUAAUGAGACUG
rnacentral:rRNA from 1 species